rnacentral:rRNA from 1 species
CCUACGGGAGGCAGCAGUGAGGAAUAUUGGUCAAUGGACGAAAGUCUGAACCAGCCAUGGCGCGUGCAGGAUGAAUGCCCUAUGGGUUGUAAACUGCUUUUAUAUAGGAAUAAACCCCUUUACGUGUAAAGGGCUGAAGGUACUAUAAGAAUAAGGACCGGCUAACUCCGUGCCAGCAGCCGCGGUAAUACGGAGGGUCCAAGCGUUAUCCGGAUUUAUUGGGUUUAAAGGGUCCGCAGGCGGAAAUGUAGAAAUCCGAUCGCUUAACGAUAGAACUGCCAUUGAUACUGUUUUUCUUGAGUAGACUUGAAGUGGGCGGAAUGUGUCAUGUAGCGGUGAAAUGCAUAGAUAUGACACAGAACACCGAUUGCGAAGGCAGCUCACUAAAUUAUAACUGACGCUCAUGGACGAAAGCGUGGGGAGCAAACAGGAUUAGAUACCCUGGUAGUC